rnacentral:tRNA from 1 species
UGGGCUAUCGCCAAGCGGUAAGGCACAGGACUUUGACUCCUGCACUCGCGGGUUCGAAUCCCGCUGGCCCAG